CUGCUGGACGAGGACUGCAGCAACAUGGGUAACACUAAAGAUCUGUUCAGAGCAAGUGGUUAGGGAGAGCUGCCACUAAAAGAGAAGGAGGAGAACUGAUUUAUCACCCUAUGUAGAUCUCAUACGCAUCUUGCAAGCAAAGAAGAAGGGAGCCUGUGGCUGGUGGCAUUUGUUCCCAAUCCAUCCUGGCAGUGGCCCUUUGCCUCUCAUCCCAGUGGCAAGGAGUCCCAAGGGUUAAUGGUGAGCUGUGGAAAACUCUAUCAGUCUAGAAUGUGUAACUUUUUCAUUUCACCAUGAGACAUCUUCACGUAUCAGUGUAGUGAAAGAACCAAAGGAACUCCUGGCUGAUCUCCCUGCCAUUUGUUAUCCCUUGCACUGCCGUCGCUACCUGUCUGUUUAAUAUAUCACAUAGUCAUCACUGAAAGAGCUGUGUGCCAUGUCCAUUCAGUCCUAAGAUGAAGCAGGCAGAGUUACAUCAGACCUGAUGGAUGAUAACUUAUAGAAAUUACAUGGGAUGGUGCACUGUUUCUGUUACCCUCUGUCUCAUUUCUGGAAAGGAAGCCCAAAAUAAAACAAAUUCCUAAGAAAGUUUCAUCUGAGAAGAGGGGAAGAAGAUCGCUGGCAAACACAGAAUUUCCUCUUUCAGGAGGGAACAGAUGGACACAGGAAGAAGAGGGAGGCAAGUGCGGAAUGAAGGAGAUGGGUGAGGAACAGAUGGAAUCGGGGGAAAGUGAAGCGGAGAGUCAGCAAGGAUGAUCUCAGCUGUUGGAAGAGUUACAGAAUAAAUAUACGGUAGUGCUGACAUUCAGUGCUGUUUCAUCUUAGCAAAAGAGUUUUUAAUAAAGACAAUUCUUUUCAAGGAAUGCUUUCUGCAGCCAGUCUUCAAAAAGAGGUUUCCCCCCCUCCUAGUUUAAUAAAAUCAAAGUAAUUUAUGUCAUAUUGAUAUGUCGAUAUGUUUUUCAAUAAACUUUUUCAGAGAGA